ensembl:lncRNA
CUUUAGGAUUGACUGGUUUGAUCUCCUUGCAGUCCAAGGGACUCUAUAAGAGACUAAAGAAACUAUAAGGGACUCAUGUGCAGCUGGGGCAGUUAUGAGCCAUAGGAUACAAAAAGGCCACAAACCAAUUGCUGUUUCUUAGGUGCCUGAAGCAAAAGCAGGAUACUGCACAUGAUCCCAGCACACAGCACCACCACGGGGGUGGGCAGACCAUCCAAGCUAGCCAGCUGCUGCCCCACCCAGGGACCUGGCCCGUGUUACCUUAUCUAAGGACCUAAGCAGCUCCUCUCCAGCAGCCAGCAAGGAUACCUGUUCCUUGUCGCUCCCUCAUGCUGCCGCAUGGACCCCAGUAGAGGUGUGCCUGCCUGUUACCAAUUUCUAUUGAUUGAAGAGUCCAAGGGCCCAGGUCAGUAACAGAGAAGCUAGUAGCUUAUGGUCUUACCUCUAGGUAGUGGCAGAGCCCAGACCCCAGGCAGCAGUGACACCCUGAGCCUGCAUCCUGAGGCUCUGCUCUUCUGCCUCUGGGAAAGCAGGGAAGCCCCUGGGGCCUGGGCAGGGAAGGCUCACGCUGAACACUGGCCCUUCCGCUUACUGCCUAGGGGCUGCUGGAGCUGCUCAGGGAGUCAUCUUGGCUGCUCUCUGCAAGGACAAUGAUGUGGGGCCAGCAAACAGUUCAAGAACAAGCGUGAGGAGCCUAGGCUGCUGGCUCAGGAAGGACUUUCGAGGCGCCAAUACAAGCAAGCUAUGGUGAAGAGGCGACUCAGCAGUCAUGAGCUGUAGCACCAGAAUUUAACAUGGUUCCUGUCACAUAAUGCUGCUGCUGCUGCUGCUAAGUCACUUCAGUCGUGUCCGACUCUGUGCGACCCCAUAGACGGCAGCCCACCAGGCUCCCCUGUCCCUGGGAUUCUCCAGAGCAUGGGCUCAGUAGUUGUGGCACACGGGCUUGGUUGCCCUGCAGCACGUGGGAUCUUCCCCGACCAGGAACUGAUCCCAUGUCCCAUGCACUGGCAGGAAGAUUCUCAACCACUGGACCAUCAGGGAAGUCCCACCAUCUGUCCUUGAACUUGACAUAAAUGGCAUCUUGCUGCAUGUACUCUUUUGUGUCUGGCUCGUUUCAUUCAACAUAAUGUUUCUGAGAUGCAUCCAUGUUAAUUGUGUGUAGCAGCAGUUCAUUCCUUAUUUAUAUAUUCAU